CCAUGCAUCUAUUUUAAUCAUGUUUUCCCUCUUUUUUCGUUUUUUUUGGCCGUGUUGCAUGUGUUGGUUAGGGCUUCAUAUAAAUAAUGGAAGUUAAUUUACGGUUUCGGGCAUUUGCUAAUUUAGCCUUCGGUUCUCUCGUUUCAAAAAAUAUAUACAUAUAUUAUCUUCUUCUUUUGGGUACUUUUUUUCGGGAGUUUUUUAAUGCAUGCCAAUAAUUUUACCGGAUUUGUUUGUGUUUGUUUUUCCCUCACCAUCAACCAAUUUUACUUUCAUCAAUCUUAGGUAUUCUUGACUAGGUUUCCUUUUCUUUUUUUCCUCAAAUUUUUUAUUGUUUUGUUUCGGUGAGAUUUGACCAAAUCGAAUAGUUUGUUGCUAUUUUGACAUUGCCGAAUUUGAUCCACUUAGUUGGAAUUAAAUAAAUAUAAUGGUCACACAAAUUUUGUUUCACAAAGCUUUUGAAAGUGGAAUAUGCUCUAGAUUAAGGGACAAUAUUGAGACUAUAAGAUACAGAAGAUAUGAAAGCUCCAAGCACAUAAAACAAGGCCUUUGCGGUGCACUUUCGAUGAGUUAAUUAAGUAGAUUUCUUGAAUGAUAAAAUUUCCCAGAAUUGCUAGAAAGGGUGUGAUUCCUAUAUACUACUCUCUACUAUGUGUCACUAAAUUCAUAAUUUUCCUUAAGAUCUACAAGUGAUAUAUGUUUCUUGUCAAAGUAAAUUAUUCAAGAUUACAAAUUUGAGCAGUCUUUCUUU